UAUAUAUCGGCGUGGAUUCCUCAUGUCUAGUUCAUUGUUAGAAAAACGUUUGGUCCAAAUCAGAUGUUAGGUACUUUAUUUAUUGAAUGUAAAUAUAGUACCUAUAAACGAUUCGCAGGCCAAAUUCACCUCGCAGGCCGCUAGUUGGGCAAACCUGGUCUAGUGUCUGCUGGUUUUUACUCUUCACUUGUACCUGGUUGUCUAGGUCAGUGAUUAGGUAGGAACUCCCCUCACCUGGUUGUCUAGGUCAGUGAUUAGGUAGGAACUCCCCUCACCUGGUUGUCUAGGUCAAUGAUUAGGUAGGAACUCCCCUCACCUGGUUGUCUAGGUCAGUGAUUAGGUAGGAACUCCCC
rnacentral:lncRNA from 1 species